rnacentral:tRNA from 1 species
GGGGAUUUAGCUCAGUGGUAGAGCGCUUACCUAGGAAGCAAGACUGGCCCUCCCAUACUCCCCC